GCCUAGGGGGUAGUUCAGUCAAUACAGUGCGAGACUCUUAAUCUCAGGGUCAUGGGGUUCGAGCCCCACUUUGGACA